rnacentral:rRNA from 1 species
GUCAAGUCCUCAUGGCCUUUAUGACUAGGGCUGCACACGUCCUACAAUGGCGCGCACAAAGGGACGCCAAGUCGCGAGACCAAGCAAAUCCCAAAAAACGCGCCCCAGUUCGGAUUGCAGGCUGCAACUCGCCUGCAUGAAGCCGGAAUCGCUAGUAAUCGCGGAUCAGAAUGCCGCGGUGAAUGUCGUUCCUGAGCCUU